UUACUAUGAGGUAGCUGGAAGUAUCGUUUGCACUGGGAGAAGGAGCUCAGGACAGGGACCGAGAUAUAGCCUGUCAGAUCACACUGAUUAACGCACCGCGCGGGCUAUUUCAUUACCGAGCAAACGGACACAGACCAAGGUUCGAGUUACGAUCUGGACCGAUAAUGAGUUUCUCCAUGAUGACAUGACCCUCCACAGCGGAUGGAUAUCCAACUUGUUGCAGUGUGGUAUCGAUGCAGCGCCCAGACGCCCCGUAGUGGAGACAAGGAAAAUCAACCAAGGCUACUCCUACAGUACAACUGGCACAACGAAGUCCGACUACAGAGGCCAGACACACAGACAGGCAGUCAGACAGGCAGCACAGAGGACCACCUGCCAUGGGUGAUGCGGGAACACAGGCAGUGAUGACAGCCCUCUGAUGGGUUCAACACGCUAGUACAAGACCCUCUGGGUGAUGGGGAGCUGGCGAGCGAGAGGGAAAGAGGGAGAGGAGGAACGAAGGCGCU